CAGCUUCCCGGGUAGCUGGGAUUAUAGGUGUGCACCGCCAGCCUGAUGACAAUGAUUCUUGAAGAGAGAUCUAGGAGGAGAUUGUGCCUGCAAAAGGUGCAGCCUGGGACUUGGAAAUCAAAGACUUGGAUCUGAUUCCCAUUCUGGCCUCCCACUAAUGCCUGGCCUCUGAGCCCCCGACUCAACUCACUCUGAAAUUGUUCCCUGUGAAAUGAAGAUAAUCUACCUUG
rnacentral:lncRNA from 1 species